rnacentral:rRNA from 1 species
AUUGAACGCUGGCGGCACGCCUAACACAUGCAAGUCGAGCGGCAGCAAGAGUAGUAGCAAUACUACUUGUCGGCGAGCGGCGGACGGGUGAGGAACACGUAGGAACUUGCCCAAAAGAGGGGGAUAACCAAGGGAAACUUUGGCUAAUACCGCAUAAACUCGAGAGAGAAAAGGUGCCCGCAAGGGUGUCGCUUUUGGAGAGGCCUGCGUCCGAUUAGCUAGUUGGUGAGGUAAAGGCUCACCAAGGCGAUGAUCGGUAACUGGUCUGAGAGGACGACCAGUCACACUGGGACUGAGACACGGCCCAGACUCCUACGGGAGGCAGCAGUGGGGAAUAUUGGACAAUGGGGGCAACCCUGAUCCAGCGAUGCCGCGUGGGUGAAGAAGGCCCACGGGUUGUAAAGCCCUUUAGGUUGGGAAGAAGGUUGUUGGGGGAAUAUCCCAGCAAUUUGACGGUACCGACAGAAUAAGCACCGGCAAACUCUGUGCCAGCAGCCGCCGUAA